CCUCACCAGCCUCUAUGCGCUGCUGUCUGGCGGGCAAGGUGUUAACCCGAAGAUCGACUCCGUCGCGUUCCGACUGCACUGCGGGGCCACGACCGCGGCGCUGCUGGCGGCGAGCGCGGCGCUCACCACGCGCCAUCUCGUGGGCAACCCGAUCGACUGCAUACACACGAGGGACAUCCCCGAAGACGUGCUGAACACAUACUGCUGGAUCCACUCGACGUUCACAGUGGCGGGGGAAGCGGGUGCCUAUCCGGGCGUACGGGGUGCCG
rnacentral:lncRNA from 1 species